AGCUGAAGAGUCGUGUUGCUGUGUGACAUCAUGCCGUAAAGUAAUAUGCCAUUGUCAUGGUAAAUGUCCUGCCCAGGAUUCUAGUGUUUGCUGCGGGCCCAAACUGGCAUUGACAGAGACGCCAUUCACCCUAUUACAAGUCAGUGUACCAUCAAAAAGAUUUUCAAGCUGUUUUUUCAAGAUAUAAUUACUACAUAAUGUUGCUUCAGUAUUCUGGUGCCCGCAUCUCAAGUCAACCUGCAACUACUCAACGUUUCAACUCAAACCAUCUCUGCUCACAUUUCCACCAGACUGCUGUUCUCCUAAAAACAUCUUUACUGAGUCUGUGUCCACCCUUGGCAUGACUAAAUGGAUAAACAAAUGAAGGUGGAUGAAUUCGACUGUCUCCUGUAAUAGAGUGACAAGAUUGUGCUGAUGCAUUUUCUACCACCAGAUGUCAGCAUCAACCAAUACCUUCACCUGUGAUCAGACUGUAGAUGCUUGAUAAUGAUAGACUGACCUUCUCAAUAUCACAAUGACAUAUCUAUGAUUCAUCCAGGACAGACCAGUGUAGCUGUAGCAGAAUUACAAUGUAGAGAAGCAGAAUUACAAUAUACAAAGGCAGCAAAGUUGCAACUCUACAAACUACAAGAAACUUAAAAGGACAGAAUGUGAUAUACAGUCUGCAAAUGAAAUAUAGCAUUUUUUUUGAAAAGUUACUUUAGGACUGAAAAUUGCUAUAUAUAUAUAUAUAUAUGCAUUCACAAAUAUUCCCUUACAAAUUAAGUUCUUCUGCUCUCACUAUAAUACGUGUGGGAAGAAACUGUGACAUUGUGAGAACAGUAGUGUUAAAGAUAGCGAUAGAAAUAAAAAAGCAAAUUUUAAUGGUGAAAUGUAACUAAGUACUCUU